rnacentral:ncRNA from 2 species
GCAUAUCAAUAAGCGGAGGAAAAGAAACCAACAGGGAUUGCCCCAGUAACGGCGAGUGAAGCGGCAACAGCUCAAAUUUGAAAUCUGGCUCUCGGGCCCGAGUUGUAAUUUGUAGAGGAUGCUUUUGGUGAGGUGCCUUCCGAGUUCCCUGGAACGGGACGCCAUAGAGGGUGAGAGCCCCGUCUGGUUGGACGCCGAACCUCUGUAAAGCUCCUUCGACGAGUCGAGUAGUUUGGGAAUGCUGCUCUAAAUGGGAGGUAUAUGUCUUCUAAAGCUAAAUACCGGCCAGAGACCGAUAGCGCACAAGUAGAGUGAUCGAAAGAUGAAAAGAACUUUGAAAAGAGAGUUAAACAGUACGUGAAAUUGUUGAAAGGGAAGCGCUUGUGACCAGACUUGGGCUUGGUUGAUCAUCCGGGGUUCUCCCCGGUGCACUCUUCCGGCCCAGGCCAGCAUCAGUUCGCCCUGGGGGACAAAGGCUUCGGGAACGUGGCUCUCUCCGGGGAGUGUUAUAGCCCGUUGCGUAAUACCCUGUGGCGGACUGAGGUUCGCGCAUUCGCAAGGAUGCUGGCGUAAUGGUCAUCAGUGACCCGUCUUGAAACACGGACC